GACGAACGCUGGCGGCGUGCUUAACACAUGCAAGUCGAACGGAAAGGCCCUGAUUUUGUGGGGUGCUCGAGUGGCGAAGGGGUGAGUAACACGUGAGUAACCUGCCCUUGACUGUGGGAGAACUUCAGGAGACUGGGGCUAAUACCGGGUAGGAGCUCCUGCUGCAUGGUGGGGGUUGGAAAGUUUCGGCGGUUGGGGAUGGACUCGCGGCUUAGCAGCUUGUUGGGGGGGUAGUGGCUUACCAAGGCUUUGACGGGUAGCCGGCCUGAGAGGGUGACCGGCCACAUUGGGCCUGAGAUACGGCCCAGACUCCUACGGGAGGCAGCAGUGGGGAAUAUUGCACAAUGGGCGGAAGCCUGAUGCAGAAACGCCGCGUGCGGGAUGACGGCCUUCGGGUUGUAAACCGCUUUCGCCUGUGACGAAGCGUGAGUGACGGUAAUGGGUAAAGAAGCACCGGCUAACUACGUG
rnacentral:rRNA from 1 species